GUCAAGAAAAGCCUCUAGGAAGAGUAGUACUGCCCGUACCGCAAACCGACACAGGUAGAUGAGGAGAGAAUCCUAAGGUGAGUGAGAGAACUCUCGUUAAGGAACUUGGCAAAAUGACCCCGUAACCUCGGGAGAAGGGGUGCGCUAUUAGGGUGCAAGCCCGAGAGAGCCGCAGUGAAUAGGCCCAGGCCUGUCUCUUAUACACAUCU
rnacentral:rRNA from 1 species